rnacentral:rRNA from 1 species
CCCUUAGAUGUUCUGGGCUGCACGCGCGCUACACUGAUGCAUCCAACAAGUUAUUCCUUGUUCGGAAGGACUGGGUAAUCUUUUGAAUAUGCAUCGUGAUGGGGAUAGAUUAUUGUAAUUAUUAAUCUUGAACGAGGAAUUCCUAGUAGGCACGGGUCAUCAGCUCGUGCCGAUUACGUCCCUGCCCUUUGUACACACCGCCCGUCGCUGCAACUGAUUGGGUGACCUGGUGAAUAUCUUGGACCGAUAUCCUCGGAAACGGGGCUGUUGGAAAAGGACGUGAAUCAGGCACAUCUAGAAAUUGCAAAANUCGUAACA